GUAGUUUAGGACAGGUUUUCCUUGACAAAAAGCAGUCCAGAGCAUCCUUCUGAGGUGUGGGGAGACAAAAACAAAACAAAAAAAAAAGGGAAGAUUUGUAUAAGUAAGGUUGUUUGUUUUUUUUUCUUCUCUCUCCUGCAAUUUAUUUUGAAUGGUGAGGUGGUUAUUAUUAUAUAUUUUUUGUUCUUGUAGUUCACAAAGUUUGUCACCACCCUGCAGUCUGGGUGACCGUUUUCAAAACAGGUUUGGGGUAGGAAAGAAUUGGUGCUGGAGGGGAGCUCCCAUCCAAACACAGGAGGUCUGAGGUUGCUGUGGGAUAGUUUGGCAGAACUGCAUCAUCACGUCUCCUCUCUUUCUCCUGGCAGUGUAAAUGAAGCAAGUCGUGGACAGCCUUGGGGCUGUCUGGAAGAAGAAAAGUAUUCCAAAACCACUACUGGAAAUAUACCAGGUUGUCCCUUCCGUGCCACGCUUACAAAUAAUCAGCUGAAGGGUAGAAUACCUACUACUGAGUUGGGUGAAGUGGGCAUUUAACAAUUGGACAGAUGCUUCCCUCCCUCUAAGGGGUGGAGACUUCAGAAGCAUAACUCAUCAUGUGAUGGGCAAGAUGCUGCAAACGCAGGAAACACAAGGUACAGCUGCUGCAUUGUAGGAAGUGUAGUCCAACUCUGAGCCAACUCAAAGCAGCAUUCAUGCAAAGGAGAGAGACAUUUCUAACACUUACUCUGCUGCAGUACGAUAUACUAACGUGAUUUUGAUUGUCAAUCCACUUUCUAAUAAUCUUUCUCUUAUUGUGUUUCUGAUGCUUGUUCCCUAGACUGCUUGGUUAACUGACCCACUCUUUUCUCCCACUGUCCCAGUUGUCACUGUUUAAUUUUCAAGAUGUUUCCAUGUGAACAUGAAAUAAUUUGAAAAACCCUGAAUGCUACUGCUGACUUCAAAACAAUAAAAUAUCAUUAUUAAUAAAACAUUUUAAACCAGCUUUUAUUUAUAGUGGGUUUUGUUUUUAAGCUGUAGGGUAGUGAUUCUCAAAGCGGGUGCCACACUACUCUAGGAUGUGGCAAGAUCCUCUUAAGCAUGCUGAACUAUAUUAGCACUGGUAGGUAUGCAAACACCUAUACAAUUCACAAAAUAAACUGACAUUUCAAACAGGAAGCCAUAGCAUUAAAAUAUUCUGACUUGUUGUGGCCCAAGUUAAUCACAAGAGUUGUUCUAUUACUUUCCCAUAAUCAAGAAAGGAAUCUUAAGAAAGCCUUAAGUCCAAACAAAGUUUGAGGAUUACUGCUUUAGUGUCUGUAACAAGGACCAGAAACUACUAAAAGUAGAGACUGCCAUGUGAGCAUGUGACUUAUGAGUCUUUCAGAAAAAGAGGCAAAAGAACGUGCAACACUGAGGUAAAACCAUUUCUGAAGCAUUUGAGACACCAUCAGAUAAACUAAG